AUGCAGUUGGAGACGCUGCUGGCGCUCAGCCUCAAACAGCAAAGUCACCUUGUAACGAAGGUUUCACAAAAUUCAAACAUACAUCAUUUCCAUGCCAGGUUACAUAUUUUAGGUGCCAGAGGAUUGUCGAAAGAAACUCAGAUGUUUGAGAAAUUCUACUCACUUCAAGCUCUCAUCACUUGCAUAUCUAUGUGCUACCCACACUGCAUUUUGUUUUUUGAAAUGGCCGCCUCCUACCAGGCACCGCCCAGGAACUUCUCAGGCGGCAGAUUUCGGCUUGUCAACAAGGUCGUCUCACACCCCUCUUCUUCUCCCCUUGGUUCUAUUCGAUUUGGAUGCUCUGUGUAUGAUUUGUUUCUUUGUCAAGCUGCAUAUCUCUUGUGUAUAGUUUCAACUACAUUGAAGUUAUGCAUCCAUUUUCAUUGCAUCACUUACCACAAGAUGUAUCCAAUAAAUCCUUGUAUAUAUAGUGACGAGCGUAAACAGUGA
rnacentral:rRNA from 1 species